rnacentral:rRNA from 1 species
AUGUUGCCCGUCCCUUCCGGCCGCGUGGGUGGCGUGAUGGUGACGAGGUCUUGCUGCAGCGGUGGGCAGUUCUCUUCCUUCCGCCCCUUCCCCUUACGGUGGUCUCUUCUCAUGGCACGUCGGAUCUGUUCAUCGAGGAUGGGGUGGAGGAGUCAUGGAACGAGGGAAACCCCUGAUCGAUUUCCCGUCGACCUCGACGCCGGCAACGCUCCGGUGUUGUUCUCCCUCUUGAGGGCGGGUCGAGCUUUCAGAUCCCCCCUCCCUCCUCCUACUUCCUUCUCCGGGCGAAAGUCUUGGCCUUUUGGUCGGACAACGGAGGUGUUUUGGCAUCCCGGUCCUCCCUGGAGGUGUCGUUCAAGGGGUGGUUGGGGUUGUGGGCCUGGUGUGUGGUGUUGGGCGACGGCGGUGGUGCUCGGCUCCCCUGGUUGUUGGUGUUGGUAG